rnacentral:rRNA from 1 species
GGUUAAGUUAACAAGGGCGCAUGGUGAAUGCCUUGGCACUAGGAGCCGAUGAAGGACGGGACUAACACCGAUAUGCUUCGGGGAGCUGUACGUAAGCUAUGAUCCGGAGAUUUCCGAAUGGGGCAACCCAGCAGUUUUAAUCAACUGUUACCACUAGAUGAAUUCAUAGUCUAGUUGGAGGUAAACGCUGUGAACUGAAACAUCUCAUUAGCAGCAGGAAUAUAAAGAAAUUUCGAUUCCCUAAGUAGCGGCGAGCGAACGGGGAACAGCCCAAACCAAAGUGCUUGCACUUUGGGGUUGUAGGACUGAACUUUUGAGUUACCAAAGAACUUGAUAGUCGAAGGAUUUGGGAAAAUCCGCCAUAGAUGGUGAUAGCCCAGUAGAUUAAAUCAAAUUCUCUCAGUUCAGGAUCCUGAGUACGGCGGAACACGUGAAAUUCCGUCGGAAUCCGGGAGGACCAUCUCCCAAGGCUAAAUACUACCUAGUGACCGAUAGUGAACCAGUACCGUGAGGGAAAGGUGAAAAGCACCCCGGGAGGGGAGUGAAAUAGUUCCUGAAACCAUGUGCCUACAAUAAGUCAGAGCGCGUUAAUGCGUGAUGGCGUGCCUUUUGUAGAAUGAACCGGCGAGUUAUGAUCCCGUGCAAGGUUAAGACUAAAAAGUCGGAGCCGUAGCGAAAGCGAGUCUGAAAUGGGCGUUUUGAGUACGAGGUUAUAGACCCGAAACCAGGUGACCUAUCCAUGUCCAGGUUGAAGGUGCGGUAAAACGCACUGGAGGACCGAACCCGUGUAAGUUGAAAAUUGCUGGGAUGAGGUGUGGAUAGCGGUGAAAUUCCAAACGAACUUGGAGAUAGCUGGUUCUCUCCGAAAUAGCUUUAGGGCUAGCCUCGGAAUUAGGAUCAUGGAGGUAGAGCACUAUUUGGACUAGGGGCCCGUCUUGGGUUACUGAAUUCAGAUAAACUCCGAAUGCCAUUGAUUCAUAUCCGGGAGUCAGACGAUGAGUGAUAAGAUCCACCGUCGAAAGGGGAACAGCCCAGACCAUCAGUUAAGGUCCCUAAAUGUAUGCUAAGUGGAAAAGGAUGUGGAGUUGCAUAGACAACUAGGAUGUUGGCUCAGAAGCAGCCACCAUUUAAAGAGUGCGUAAUAGCUCACUAGUCGAGUGAUCCUGCGCCGAAAAUGUACCGGGGCUAAGCAUACUACCGAAACCAUGGAUGCGACCAUUAGGUCGCGUGAUAGGAGAGCGUUCUAAGGGCGGUGAAGCAAGAUCGUGAGGACUUGUGGAGCGCUUAGAAGUGAGAAUGCCGGUAUGAGUAGCGAAAGAUAGGUGAGAAUCCUAUCCACCGAAUGACUAAGGUUUCCUGGGGAAGGCUCGUCCUCCCAGGGUUAGUCGGGACCUAAGUCGAGGCCGAGAGGCGUAGACGAUGGAUAACAGGUUGAGAUUCCUGUACUAGUUAAGUGCGUUUGAGCAAUGGAGGGACGCAGGAGGCUAAGAUGUGCAUUCUGUUGGAUUAGAAUGUCCAAGCAGUAAGUCUUGUGAAGAGUCAAAUGCUUUUCACUUUAAGGACAAGCUGUGAUGGGGAGCGAAAUUUAGUAGCGAAGCGUCUGAUGUCACACUGCCGAGAAAAGCUUCUAGUGAGUACUUAACUACCCGUACCGCAAACCGACACAGGUAGUCGAGGAGAGAAUCCUAAGGUGAGCGAGUGAACUCUCGUUAAGGAACUCGGCAAAAUGACCCCGUAACUUCGGGAGAAGGGGUGCUGAUCGCAAGAUCAGCCGCAGUGAAUAGGCCCAGGCGACUGUUUAUCAAAAACACAGGUCUCUGCAAAAUCGUAAGAUGACGUAUAGGGGCUGACGCCUGCCCGGUGCUGGAAGGUUAAAAGGAUGGGUUAGCUUCGGCGAAGCUCAGAAUUGAAGCCCCAGUAAACGGCGGCCGUAACUAUAACGGUCCUAAGGUAGCGAAAUUCCUUGUCGGGUAAGUUCCGACCCGCACGAAAGGCGUAACGAUCUGGGCACUGUCUCAACGAGAGACUCGGUGAAAUUAUAUUGUCCGUGAAGAUGCGGACUACCCGCGACAGGACGGAAAGACCCCAUGGAGCUUUACUGUAGCUUGAUAUUGAGUGUUUGUACAGCUUGUACAGGAUAGGUAGGAGCCAUAGAAACCGGAACGCUAGUUUCGGUGGAGGCGUUGGUGGGAUACUACCCUCGCUGUAUGACCACUCUAACCCGCACCACUAAUCGUGGUGGGAGACAGUGUCAGGUGGGCAGUUUGACUGGGGCGGUCGCCUCCUAAAAAGUAACGGAGGCGCCCAAAGGUUCCCUCAGAAUGGUUGGAAAUCAUUCGCAGAGUGUAAAGGCACAAGGGAGCUUGACUGCGAGACAGACAGGUCGAGCAGGGACGAAAGUCGGGCUUAGUGAUCCGGUGGUACCGUAUGGAAGGGCCAUCGCUCAACGGAUAAAAGCUACCCUGGGGAUAACAGGCUUAUCUCCCCCAAGAGUCCACAUCGACGGGGAGGUUUGGCACCUCGAUGUCGGCUCAUCGCAUCCUGGGGCUGUAGUCGGUCCCAAGGGUUGGGCUGUUCGCCCAUUAAAGCGGUACGCGAGCUGGGUUCAGAACGUCGUGAGACAGUUCGGUCCCUAUCCGUCGCGGGCGUAGGAAAUUUGAGAGGACCUGUCCUUAGUACGAGAGGACCGGGAUGGACAUACCUCUGGUGUACCAGUUGUGCCGCCAGGCGCAUCGCUGGGUAGCUACGUAUGGAUGUGAUAAACGCUGAAAGCAUCUAAGUGUGAAACACACCUCGAGAUGAGAUUUCCCAUUCCUUUAUGGAAGUAAGACCCCUGAAAGAUGAUCAGGUAGAUAGGUUAGAAGUGGCAGUGCGGUGACGCAUGAAGCGGACUAAUACUAAUCGGUCGAGGACUUAACCAA